ACCCGCUGAACUUAAGCAUAUCAAUAAGCGGAGGAAAAGAAACUAACAAGGAUUCCCUCAGUACGGGCGACGGAAGCGGGAAAAGCCCACAUUGGUAAUCUCUGAGCGGCAGCUCAGCGAAUUGUAAUCUGAAGAUGGCUAGUCCACCUGGGCCCCGGCGGCUGAAGUGCGCACGAGCGCGCCGCCAAAGAGGGUGAGAGCCCCCGUCUGGCGCCGGGCCCCUACAAGGGGUUGGCAAUCCAAGAGUCGUGUACUUUGAUACUAGUGCACUAAGCGGGAGAUAAACUUCUUCUAAGGCUAAAUACAAGUAGGAAACCGAUAGCGAACAAGUACUGUGAAGGAAAGAUGAAAAGCACUUUGGAAAGAAAGUUAAAAGACUUGAAAUCGUUGAGGCGGACCCGGUAGAAAUGUAUUCUAGCGAAGCGCUCUGGGAAGCCUGUAUUCGGGCCACUUGAGCGCUAGCCGAGACAAGAUGGAGUCGCGCGAUGCCAGAGGCCGUGUGCGAGGAAGCUUGCUUCAGCGCGCGCUGGCCGGGUGUCGGGCGGCUUGAGGGGCCUUGCGCGAUCUUGUCAAAAUGGUUUUUACCGACUCGUCUUGAAACACGAACCAAGGAGUCUAAGACUAACGCGAGUGUGGUGGUGGAGAAACCAACACGCGAAAUGAAAGUAAAUGAUGCCAAGAAACCUGCAGCAUCGACCGACCACUUUCUUCUGGAAGAGGUUUGAGUAAGAGCGUUAUUCUUAGGACCCGAAAGAUGGUGAACUAUGCCUGUGUAGGGUGAAGUCAGGGGAAACUCUGAUGGAAGCUCGUAGCGAUACUGACGUGCAAAUCGUUCGUCGAACAUGGGUAUAGGGGCGAAAGACUAAUCGAACCAUCUAGUAGCUGGUUCCCUCCGAAGUUUCCCUCAGGAAAGG
rnacentral:rRNA from 1 species